rnacentral:rRNA from 1 species
UACGUAGGGUGCGAGCGUUGUCCGGAAUUACUGGGCGUAAAGAGCUCGUAGGUGGUUUGUCGCGUUGUUCGUGAAAACUCACAGCUCAACUGUGGGCGUGCGGGCGAUACGGGCAGACUGGAGUACUGCAGGGGAGACUGGAAUUCCUGGUGUAGCGGUGGAAUGCGCAGAUAUCAGGAGGAACACCGAUGGCGAAGGCAGCCAUCUGGACCGACACUGACGCUGAGGCGCGAAAGCGUGGGGAGCAAACAGG